UCCCUGGUGGCCUAGAGGUUUAGGAUUCAGCACUGUUACUACUGUGGCUCAGGUUCAAUUCCUGGCCUGGAAA
rnacentral:tRNA from 1 species